CAAAGAGUAGUUUAAUGAAGAAUACUAGCUUUGGGAGUUAGUGGUAAGGGUUAGAUUCCUUUUUCUUUGA
rnacentral:tRNA from 2 species